rnacentral:rRNA from 1 species
GGAGUGCUUGCACUCCUGAUGGUUAGCGGCGGACGGGUGAGUAACACGUAGGCAACCUGCCUGUAAGACUGGGAUAACUACCGGAAACGGUAGCUAAUACCGGAUAGGCUUUUUCCUCGCCUGGGGGAGAAGAGAAAGACGGAGCAAUCUGUCACUUACAGAUGGGCCUGCGGCGCAUUAGCUAGUUGGUGAGGUAACGGCUCACCAAGGCGACGAUGCGUAGCCGACCUGAGAGGGUGAUCGGCCACACUGGGACUGAGACACGGCCCAGACUCCUACGGGAGGCAGCAGUAGGGAAUCUUCCGCAAUGGACGAAAGUCUGACGGAGCAACGCCGCGUGAGUGAUGAAGGCCUUCGGGUCGUAAAGCUCUGUUGCCAAGGAAGAACAGCUAGGAGAGUAACUGCUCUUAGAAUGACGGUACUUGAGAAGAAAGCCCCGGCUAACUACGUGCCAGCAGCCGCGGUAAUACGUAGGGGGCAAGCGUUGUCCGGAAUUAUUGGGCGUAAAGCGCGCGCAGGCGGUAAUGUAAGUUGGGUGUUUAAGGCAAGGGCUCAACCCUUGUUCGCACCCAAAACUGCAUCACUUGAGUGCAGCAGAGGAAAGUGGAAUUCCACGUGUAGCGGUGAAAUGCGUAGAGAUGUGGAGGA